rnacentral:rRNA from 1 species
AUGAGGUUGUCUAUGUUCAACGAGUUCAGCAAGCUCAAAUUUCUUCAAAUUGCAGAAACUAGAUUCGCAAGUGUCGUGAUCAUGCUCAAGAGGCUUCUAUUGAUAAAGGAUGCACUUGUUCAAAUGGUUGUUCAUCCUAAUUGGGCUGCUUAUAGGGAGGAUGAUACAGCUAAAGCUCAAAGGGUUAAGGAGCUUGUUCUCAAUGAUAUUUAG